AUCCAGCUGACCAGUCCCAAAUAGGACGAAACGCGCGUCGUAGAU
rnacentral:hammerhead_ribozyme from 1 species